rnacentral:rRNA from 1 species
UGGGGAAUUUUGCGCAAUGGGGGAAACCCUGACGCAGCAACGCCGCGUGGAGGAUGAAAUAUCUUGGUAUGUAAACUCCUUUCGAUGGGGAAGAUUAUGACGGUACCCAUAGAAGAAGCCCCGGCUAACUUCGUGCCAGCAGCCGCGGUAAUACGAGGGGGGCAAGCGUUGUUCGGAUUUAUUGGGCGUAAAGGGUGCGUAGGCGGUUUGAUAAGUCUGAUGUGAAAUCUAUGGGCUCAACCCAUAGUCUGCAUUAGAAACUGUCGGGCUUGAGUAUGGGAGAGGUGAGUGGAAUUUCCGGUGUAGCGGUGAAAUGCGUAGAUAUCGGAAGGAACACCUGUGGCGAAAGCGGCUCACUGGACCAUAACUGACGCUGAUGCACGAAAGCUAGGGGAGCAAACAGGAUUAGAUACCCUGGUAGUCCUAGCCCUAAACGAUGAUUGUUUGAUGUGGCAGGUACCCAAUCCUGCCGUGUCGAAGCUAACGCGAUAAA